rfam:Amborella trichopoda AMTR_V1.0_contig_43036, whole genome shotgun sequence.
AUGUGGCAAGAGUGAUGAACCAAUUAGAUGUAUGAAAAGAAUUGUUCUUUCAUGAACUGAACUUUUGAGGCAUUAUAAUACUCUGACUAGCCACUU